CGGGCUCACGGCGGGGGCGUGGGCGCGGGCGUUGAUGGUGCGCAGCUCGAGGUACGGUUCGAGGCCGAAGGGCCCGC
rnacentral:tRNA from 1 species